GAUGAACGCUAGCGGCAGGCUUAAUACAUGCAAGUCGAGGGGUAGCAAGAUUGUAGCAAUACAAUUGUUGACGACCGGCAAACGGGUGCGGAACACGUACACAACCUUCCUACAAGUGGGGAAUAGCCCAGAGAAAUUUGGAUUAAUACCCCGUAACCUAACGAUAUUGCAUCACAUUGUUAUUACAGAUUUUUCGCUUAUUUAUGGGUGUGCGGCUGAUUAGAUAGUUGGCGGGGUAACGGCCCACCAAGUCUACGAUCAGUAGCUGAUGUGAGAGCAUGAUCCGCCACACGGGCAAUGAGACACGGGCCCGACUCCUACGGGAGGCAGCAGUAAGGAAUAUUGGACAAUGGACGCAAGUCUGAUCCAGCCAUGCCGCGUGAAGGAUUAAGGUCCUCUGGAUUGUAAACUUCUUUUAUAAGGGACGAAAAAAGGCUUUUCUAAGUCGUCUGACGGUACCUUAUGAAUAAGCACCGGCUAACUCCGUGCCAGCAGCCGCAGUAACAC
rnacentral:rRNA from 1 species